rnacentral:rRNA from 1 species
UGGGGAAUUUUGGACAAUGGGCGAAAGCCUGAUCCAGCAAUGCCGCGUGUGUGAAGAAGGCCUUCGGGUUGUAAAGCACUUUUGUCCGGAAAGAAAUCCUUGGCUCUAAUACAGUCGGGGGAUGACGGUACCGGAAGAAUAAGCACCGGCUAACUACGUGCCAGCAGCCGCGGUAAUACGUAGGGUGUAAGCGUUAAUCGGAAUUACUGGGCGUAAAGCGUGCGCAGGCGGUUUGCUAAGACCGAUGUGAAAUCCCCGGGCUCAACCUGGGAACUGCAUUGGUGACUGGCAGGCUAGAGUAUGGCAGAGGGGGGUAGAAUUCCACGUGUAGCAGUGAAAAUGCGUAGAGAUGUGGAGGAAUACCGAUGGCGAAGGCAGCCCCCUGGGCCAAAUACUGACGCUCAUGCACGAAAAGCGUGGGGAGCAAAACAGGAUUAGAUACCCUGGUAGUCCACGCCCUAAAACGAUGUCAACUAGUUGUUGGGGAUUCAUUUCCUUAGUAACGUAGCUAACGCGUGAAGUUGACCGCCUGGGGAGUACGGUCGCAAGAUU